UCUCAUCGACCCAACGACUCCUUUCGCCUUGCGCGGGAGGAGUUCACUAUGCGACCCCAGGUCAGGCGGGGCUACCCGCUGAGUUUAAGCAUAUC
rnacentral:rRNA from 2 species